GCUCCGGCGCCUUGUCGUCGCGCACGCGCACGAACCUGCAAAUAAACGCACUGCGGAUUUCAAGAGUCAGGGCGCGGACUCCUCGCUAUUACUCCAAGUUGCCGUGUGCCGAGGCUUUGUGACCGGAUCUCUAUGCUACAUUCCCACGUUAACAGCGCGCCUGUCAUAGAAGAAUGCAAAUGUUAUGCUUGCGGACGACACAUGCCUUACGAGCGCUGGCAGGUAGCCGGCGCAGCACGUCAGGGUACUUGGAGGUGUUGUCCUCCUGGUUGCGGCUGAACACCCUCGCGUUGGCGAAGUCGGGUGAGGUGCCGUCGGUGGAGGAAGGCACGUGGAUCUGCGCUCGCUCGCCGUCGUACUUCCACUCGCACGUGAACUUUUCGUUCUCGAAUCUAUGUCGCAUGGAGUGCGCAAAGGUGCAUUUGCAUGAAGUGAUGUGUGGUGUUGGACGAAAAAGUCAUGGCCGCAUAGUGUCAAACCACGGACAGGCAUUGCGAAUGCAGCCGAACCAAGAGACAAGGAGUUGAUUGCGAUUCACACCUAGAUUACUCUACUAAAGCACAAAACAAAAACGAAUACAAUUUUUACUGAACGUGUUCUGUGUAAGCCAAAAAGUAAUCAUCAUCUUGAUAUUCGACAGGAAAUAUUUCAUAUUUAUUUAUUAUUAGUAUGGUUAAGCUCAUC